CCCCACUGCUAUCGAGGUGGGACUAAGCCAGGCCAGUCGAACGACUCGGACUAUGGCGAGAAGUGGCAAACUGCUCAGUAACACGUAGCUAACCUACCCUCAGGACGGAGACAACCCCGGGAAACUAGGGUUAAUCCCCGAUAGGCGUGGAUUCCUGGAAUGGUGUCACGCCCAAACGUUAACACACCAUGUUUGUGUACACGCCUGAGGAUGGGGCUGCGGCCGAUCAGGCUGUUGGUGAGGUAACGGCUCACCAAACCUUUGACCGGUACGGGCCGUGAGAGCGGUAGCCCGGAGAUGGACACUGAGACAAGGGUCCAGGMCCUACGGGUCGCAGCCGGUACGAAACCUCCACAAUGCACGCAAGUGCGAUGGGGUUACCUCGAGUGCCGUCUGAAGAAGGCGGCUUUUCCAUUGUGUAAUGAGCCGUGGGAAUAAGGGGGGGGCAAGACUGGUGUCAGCCGCCGCGGUAACACCAGCCCCCCGAGUGGUGGGAUGUUAUUUGGCCUAAAGCGUCCGUAGCCGGCCGGAUAAGUCUCCCGUUAAAUCCAGCGUCUCAAGCGUUGGACUGCGGGAGAUACUGUCUGGCUAGAGAGUGGGAGAGGUAUACGGUAUUCUGGGGGUAGGGGCGAAAUCCAUUGAUCCCCGGAGGACCACCAGUGGCGAAGGCUGUAUACUAGAACACGUCUGACGGUCAGGGACGAAAGCUGGGGUAGCGAACCGGAUUAGAUACCCGGGUAGUCCCAGCCGUAAACGAUGCACGCUAGGUGUUGGGUCGGCCACGAGCCGCCCCGGUGCCACAGGGAAGCCAUUAAGCGUGCCGCCUGGGGAGUACGGCCGCAAGGCUGAAACUUAAAGGAAUUGGCGGGGGAGCACCACCACGGGUGGAGCGUGCGGUUUA
rnacentral:rRNA from 1 species